AAAAGAUUGGAAACCCCUGCGAAUACCCAAGGCCAGGUCUAGGAGUGCUUGCUCUGAGUGAGGCUCAUCUUCAAAUCUGAAUGACCACAAGGAGAUUUGAUUAUACAUGUGAACACCUCAGAAGGCACAGCCCACCCAGAAGGCAGACAGGUCAGGCUGCUUUUUCUUCAUUGCUUGGAUUCAAUCCUCCGGGCGGCUCAGGCUCAAACAUAACUUAAGCAUGAUUAAACUUUAGAAGAAGCUGCCAGGAAGACUGUGAAAUCUUCAUGCCCAAGGAUCCCUAAAAUUAGGAGCAACAACCACUUGGCUCAGACGGUUUAUGGAGGCAAAGGUUUGGAUGGGAUUAGAGAUUUCUAAAUGUGAGUUCGUGUCCUCUGCCAGACCACCUUACUUCCACCAUUCCUCAGCAAAUCAAGAAAAACAGGAGAAAAGACAUGCCUUUCCAUAAGUUAAAUCUAUUCUGUUUUAAUUCUAUAUUAUAUCUGCUGUACAACUUCUUUUGUUUGUAACACCAUAUUGUUGCUAGUAACUGGAAAUUAAUUUUCACAUGCCUCAGCUUAGAAAAAUAAAAAGCA
rnacentral:lncRNA from 10 species